rnacentral:lncRNA from 1 species
AAAGACAAUUUGGCUGGGACCAUAAGCAAGGGAAAGAAUAGCACAUGAUGAGGUGAGAGAGGAAGACAAAGAUCAGAUUAUGCAGGGAAGUGUAGUCUCUAGUGAAGAGUCUGAAUUUUAUUCCAAGAAUAAUGCCCCCUCCUUCUAAGUUGGCUAUUACCCAAUGCUCUAUUUAUGAAUAUAGCUUUAGAACAAUAACCUGACUGUACUAACAAUCAGCCUAGCUAAAAUCAAGAAUUAAAACAACAUUCAUGGGGACACAAUGAAUUUUUUUCUGCCAAAUAGGAAUUUAAUCUCCCUGAGAAACCUAUUCAUUACUUUAACCUGCUUUACAUGUUGGGGUUUUAUGUGAACAGUCAGAAGAGAUUUACACAAGCUCCCCACCCUACAUAUACACCUACCUGCGUCUGCGUCCAUGGACUCCUCGUGGCCUGCUAUUAACAUGGAUGAGUGCUCUUCCUCCUGAGACCAGUCCCUCCACCUGUGCAUUCGUGCCUAGCCUCUCUCUCUUAAUCAAUACAAUUCCAACUCCUUCGUCUCUCUUCUGCAUCUCAAUUUUUUCCUUUCUCUAGGCUCACACCCAUCAAUAUUGACAGGUAGCAACUUCUCUGAUCUCAAAUACAUGCAUACUUACCUUUACUCAUACCAGCAUCCCUUGGACACUAUAUCCCUCUCCAGCUGCCACCUCGUUUCUCUUCUAGCUUUUAUAGCAAAACUUCUCAAGAGAGUUGUUGCUACUUACUGCUUUAAUUGCUCUCUUUAAGCCUGUGCAAUCAAGCCAUGGCUUCCAUCCAGGUUACCUGACCUAUCUGCCUCACAUAUUGUUAUUUAUUCAGGCAAUAGCCAUUUAUAGUUGAUUUACAAUGUUGUACUAGUUUCAGGUGUACAGCAAAGUGCAUCAGUUAUACAUAUACAUAAAUCCAUUCUUUUUUCCCCACAUGGGUUGUUACAGAACAUUGAGCUGAUCAUCCCUGUGCUAUAGAGUUGGUCCUUGUUAAUUACCUAUGUUAUUAUAUAUAGUAGUGUCUAUAUGUUAAUCUCAUCUUUCCAAUUUAUCCCCCCCCCAACCCUACAGUUUCUCCUCUGGUAACCAUAAGUUUGAUUUCACAAACCGUGUGUUUGUUUCUGUCUUAUAAAUGACUUCUUUUGUAUCAUUUUAUGUUAAUAGUUUUAAUUAUUUAAAAUAUCUUUUUGAAUGUAAGGGGUUCUGUUUCCAUCUGUUCCAUCAAUUAGACAGAAUUCUGGAGGUCAUCCUUUUAGGAAUGACUUUCCACUCCCAUCUUUAUUCCACCACCCUCUCCUGUAAUGAUAAAUUUCUUUAUCGUUCAGCCUUCAACUCAAGUUCACUCCCCACCCCCGUCUUCCAUUAACCGGGUCCUCUUACUCUCUACUUUCUUAGAAGCAUGUUCCUUUUCUUUGGAAUACUCAUCUCUAUAAUAAUACAACUGCCAGUAUCAUUAUUUGAAGAUAUCUGUCUCCCCCUUGUAAACUCUAGGAGUUUAGGGACUCUGUUUUGUCAUUGAAUGGUUGUCACUUGUCACAGUGUAGGCACAUAGUAGGUACUCAAUAAUUAUUUGUUGAAGGCAGGAAAGUGAUCCAGAAGAAAGGAAACCCUCUGCACAGUUAAAUAAGGAAUAUAUAAAAUAUAUGAAAAUGUUUCACGUGCAGAAUUGUGCUAUAUCCAUUCUGUUCCUCGUCAUGAAAAUGAAUUUAUUUCAUUCCAAUGGUACGUGAAAUUAACUUUUUUUUAAUCCUAAGUAACAGAGACAAAUUCUGGAUAAUUUAAAGAAACAAAGAGGGGGAAGGGGAUUUACUGGAUGAAUACUGAGAUAUUUCACAGGGUCAAUGGAGGAAGUGAGCAACAAAACCUCAGGAAGGCAGGGGGCAAAGGUAACUGGGUAGGAAAACUCAAAAGCAAAUGUUCAGAGGCCUGAUCUCUGGGCCCUGCUGUUAAGAGGAGGCCUCUAUUAAGACUGGUCUGUGCUUCCCUUUUACCAGUUUCAACUGUCAGAAGAGAGGGUACAGCUGGCCCGGCUUAUGUCAACUGUCUGCCUACAGCUGAAUGAAUCCACUUGGUUUGAGUGGCAUGUCGUGUGGGACAGGCAUGGCCACUAGAGGCCUGCCCCUGUGUUUUGAUUCAGUGGAAUCUACUGUGACCAAAGUGGCCACCCCAGAUGACAACCCCCUUAGAUAGAGAAGAUGUUCACAUUAUCCAGCAAUCAUCUGGGAGCAAGGGAAGGGGCAAUUUCAGGAUCAUUUCUGUAACACAUAUUUUCAUAUCGAUGUUUACUUACAUUUGUUGUUUUUAUAUUUCUUGUUAAUUUUUAUAUUUCUUUAUAGUUAUAUAUAAUUUAUAUUAUAUUUGUAUUAUCUCUAAAUAUUAUAUUAUCUCUUUUGAAACACAGAAAAGUAGAGAAAAAAAUAUAAUGACCCCUCAAGGUACCCAUCAUCCAAAUUUAAUAAUUACCAAUUUUGUACUAUUCUUAUUUUAUCUUCUCUGUACCCCAAAACUUGUUUCUUGGUGUAUUUUAAAAUAAAUUCCAUAUACCAAAAUUCACCUUAUAAAUAUUUCACUAUAUAUCUGUAUUAGGUAAGGAAUUUUAAAACCAUAAGAUCAUUAUCGCACCAGAAGAAAGUAACAAUAAUUCCUUAAGAUUAGAUGUAAUUGGUAUAUACCCAGUUCUAUUAAGACUUGCUCCUUGCUAAUAAGGAGAUUGCGUUCUAGGAGGAACGAUAAGAUCUUUAAAACAAGAGAAACAAAGACUGUAAGAAAAGUAGCAAUGAAGCACCAUGUGAUGGUCAGAGAAGGGAGACAGUAGCGGAGAUGGAAAAAGUAAACUAUAUAUUAGAAUACAUUCAGGAGCCCAGAAACAACUGUGCGAUUAAUAUUUUCUUUUGAAAAAAUCAAGAAGGAAUUCCCAUUGUGGCUCAGUGGUGCUAGUAUCCAUGAGAAUGUAGGUUUGAUCCCUGGCCUCGCUCAAUGGGUUGAAGAUCCGGUAUGACCAAGAGCUGUGGUGUGGGUCGCAGACGCGACUCAAAACCUGUGUUGCUGUGGCGCAGACUGGCAGCUUAGCUCCAAUUUGACCCCUAGCCUGGGAACUUCCAUAUGCCAUGGGUAUGGCCCUAAAAAGACAGACAGACAGACAGAAAGAAAGAAAGAAAGAGAAAGAAAAAAGAGGAUCACUGGAAUCUGAGAAAGUAGAAGACUCAGAAUUCAAACUGGCACCUGGGGACUGAAAGGCUAAAGUGCUUGAAGGAUCAGUGGAAAGUCAAAGGGCCUGGUACACUGCAGAAUCUCAGGAACAGAGGACACAGAGCAAAGGUGGGAGACCCAGCUGUCCUGCUCUCAACUGAAGGACAAGUGAAAAUCUCCAGCGAAUGGCCCAGAGGCUACAAGUAAUGAAACCAAGAAGAGGUGGGUCUUAAAGACACUCAGCUAGUAUGUGAUCCAGCAGAAUUUGUUGUUUCCUGCUGGCUUUACUUCACAUUGUAUGGGAUUAGGAUGUAUGAGCUGUUAAAUAUUUGAACAUCACCCCUGAUUACAAGAAAUAUUUCUAUGACGUUGGCUUUUACCAAGAGUAUCCUUAGUGCCUGGUCCAGUGCCUGAAACAGAGAAGGCACUCAAAUAUAUUCUGAGAGAGAAUAAACGAAUGCGUAAAUUUUAUAUCGCUGUUCAGACGCAUCAUUAAACUAUUUUUAAAGU